rnacentral:lncRNA from 1 species
ACCACUGAUAUAUACUACUGGAGCAACUCGUUAAAAAAUAGGGUUGUUCGUGCCAACACACAAUACUCAUUUGGAACAGAAAACAUUCCCACAUAUCCUUUGCACCUGAACACAGAUAUUACCCCAGUGCAUGAAAAAAGGUCAAAAACACAAAAAAUCCACACUUGUUUUUGUCUUGGGAACACAAACUCAUGGUAGAAGGUGUAUAUAAUAGGAAUCUGACAAAAGAGGGCACCGACAGUCUUCAGAGCUUGACAAUUUAAACUUGAACAAACAAUCUUGCUGCAUUGCCCACCUCGAACAUAAGGACGCUGCCGCUCCUGAUCCCGUGGCAAAUGCAGAAAUCCUCCCACCCCUGGUGGAUGACAGUGUCACAUGCGUUGGUCGUUGAGUAUGCCGGUGCCAUGAAUUUGUUGCUUAGCCUUUCAGAACUGAAAUUGCCAUACCCAGAAGUGGGAAUCCUCAGCACAUUCUUGCUCUUGCAUGGGAUAACCUGCGAGAUACACUUAUGAAAACUUGGAAAAAGUCCUAGCUAGUCGUAACGGCAAAAAGGGAAAUGACAAUAAACUUACAAGUACUCGGGAAGCCAAAUCAAGGUCAGUCAUCUUCUGAACGAUGAUCUCACAUUCGAAAAACUCAGGUUCAUCCAAUCCAUCUAAUAUUUUCAGAACCCUUCGUACUUCACGAUCGGUUAGGUCGGCCAUGUUCUUGAAUACAGUGGAGUGGAAGAGAUUGCGCACAUCAGCACUAACCUCACGUAGCCCUGUGAAAAAAGAAGCAAUAAGUUAUAGAAAAAAGUAAGCAAAAUAAAACAACAAAUAAAUAAAUAAAGAAAACAAGCUACUAACCAAAAAGGGUAGCAUGCAGCACAACAUCAUUGGGCUGCCCCACUAACACAGCACUGAAAGCAUCCCCGUCCUCCGCGGCAGAGAAGUGCACACUAGCACCAGGUUUCAACUUGUGGGUCUUUGCAAACAGUUUCCAAUAAGCACAACAUAGCAAGGUGGCGUCAGUCCCAAUUUGGAUGUGGAAGUCGUACUCGAACCCAUGACAGUCCACAACAACAAGGAAGUUCUCCGCAAAAUCGUUCAGGCGAUCCUAAGAACUGGGGAACAACCUGCUUAAACAGAAAGCAUUGGUAAUUUUUUUUUAAAAAGAAUCAAAAAUAAAAAUGUGAACACUUAACUAUUCCCAUUACCGCAAAAUUGCCACACCCUUCAACCAUGGUGAUCGUGAAGGUUGAAUGGCAAGCCUCAGGGCAUUUGCACAGUACAUUGAACUUGUUGCACUCAUUGCAAGGGCGCGCCAUGAACUCCACUAGGAAAACACAUAGGUUAAGUGCAGAACACUCACAGGAAAAAACAAUAAAAACGUCACGUAUACUUCAAUGAUACUUUCUGGAAAAACACAAAGCAACCCGUGAUCCGGCGAUCUAAAAACGGCGUGUCUAUCUUAUGUAGGGUGGUAUCUGCAACAGUAUACAGUAAUCAAACAAAGCAACCCGCGAUCUAACAACCCCUUUAUCGAAUCACAGAUGCAAAAAAAAAGGGACCAGACCCUAGACACACGUCCCUGCACGGAUAGAGCGGUGCUAGGACGGAAGAAACUUUACCACGAUCUGAGGGCUGUUGGAGCAAUCUGGCAAGACAGGCGAAAGGAACUCCGGCGACGGUUCUCCCUCUUCCCGCACCCCGUCCUCAAACUCGAAAGCGAGAUAAAAAAAAGGAAACAACACGUCCUCCCCGUCAAUCAACACCCCCUCCCGGCCACCCUCCCCUGAGGCCCGACGAAAAGCCUAGGACAAAUGUGCUCCGAAGCCCAAACAGAACACAGGCCGCAUACUAGCCCGGCCAGAGGAAAAAAAAACAAACCCACGAAUCUCCGCGCACAAAUCUAAAGUACAAAUUAGGGGAGGGGGUGGUUUAGUCCCACCUCGCUCGUUUAGAGGCACGGUCACCGGCAUAAAAAGGUUCGGCCACCC